rnacentral:rRNA from 1 species
UGCCAGCAGCCGCGGUAAUACAGAGACCUCGAGCGUUGACCGGAUUUAUUGGGCGUAAAGCGUGCGCAGGCUGUUUUGUAAGUCAUCUGUUAAAUCUUCAGGCUCAACCUGGAGGCAGCGGGUGAUACUGCAAGACUAGAGUAUGGGAGAGGUUGGCGGAAUGCCAGGUGUAGGGGUCAAAUCCGUUAAGAUCUGGUAGAACACCAAAAGCGGAAGCAGCCAACUGGAACAUCACUGACGCUGAUGCACGAAAGCGUGGGUAGCGAAUGGGAUUAGAUA